UUUUGUGGUGUAGUGGUAGCGCCUUGAAUUAUUAAUCAUAAGUCCUAGGUUCGACUCCUGGUCGGGACAAAAAAA